rnacentral:rRNA from 1 species
UCAAAUGACUCUCGGCAAUGGAUAUCUCGGCUCUUGCAUCGAUGAAGAACGUAGUGAAAUGUGAUACUUGGUGUGAAUUGCAGAAUCUCGUGAACCAUUGAGUCUUUGAACGCAAGUUGUGCCCGAGGCCUUGUGGUCGAGGGCAUGCCUGCUUGGGCGUCAUGG